AAGUCGUAACAAGGUCUCCGUUGGUGAACCAGCGGAGGGAUCAUUACCGAGUUUACAAACUCCCAACCCUUCUGUGAACCUUACCCGUCGUUGCUUCGGCGGGACGCCCCGGAGCCCCGUGCCCGGACCCAGGCGCCCGCCGGAGACCCCCAACUCCACUGUAUCUUCAGCGCCGUAUUCUCCUCUGAGUGGCAAACGCACAAUCAAUCAAAACUUUUAACAACGGAUCUCUUGGCUCUG
rnacentral:misc_RNA from 1 species